UGUCUAGAUCUCUUUGAAUCUUGUUCCUGUCAGCUGACCUAUUAGUGCUACCUCCUGACUGUGUGUCAGCCGACCACUUGACAAGCCCGCUCCCCUGGAUUCCAUCUGAGUUGCCACGAGAAAUGCUAAACCGGGCAGAGCACUUGGGUAUCAUGUGCCCAAGGCACAUGGGCCGGCCGCGGCAUCAUGAUUUGGGGAUGGUUAUUCGGUCAGGCACAGAGUCCCUGAGAUGAAACGUUGCUCUUUCUUGCCUCGGUGCCUCCCUGCAGCUCGUGCAUACUCUGUCCCUGUCCCGAUUUACCAGUCCACACAGCAGAGCUGACGAGAAAGUGAGGUUAAUCUGGGUGAUUUUUUUUUUCUUGGCGAGCAGCACAGGAAGCGGCCCAGAAGCUGCAGGGGGAUGUGGUUCCUCGGGACAAGAGGCCCCUGUGUCACACCAGACUAAUGAUUCACUCAGUGACAGUCACACAGUCCCCUGUCUUUGCCUGACACCCGUCUGUCACUUGUCACUUCUUAUCUAAUCCUCCACCUCCCUCCAGGUCCUCUCUCCGGCUUCACCUGCAUCAGGAUGAAGGCGGGCUGGUGCGAGUUGAGGGAUUUGCUCCAGCCGGACAAUGAGAAGGAGAGUUCAUAACUCUUUUGAGGGAGAGCCGAGGCGGCCUUCCUGGGUAGCCCAGAGCAUCCCCUUCAAAAGAUGGAGCUCUUCUGAGCUCUUCACUUCCCCUUUAGAGCUUCCCCCCUUUCCCGGACGACUUCCACCUUCACUCGAAGCAGAAGUCUUCCAUAGAGCAGACACAGCCUCCCCUCUGCAGUAUCCCGGGGGGCCCAGUGAGGCCUGGCCCCAGUACCGCAGAGCUUAGCGCCCCUCCUGCCAUCCGGAAGUUUCUUCCGGGAAGCAGGCAGCCUCCUUCUGUCUCCCAGUCCGUGGGUUCCUUCAGAACCUACUGGUGCCUGGUGCUUCGGAUGGGACCGACCCACCUAAGCCCCAGAGAAGAGCUUGGGUGGGGCAGGGGCUUCUGGGUUCUUCUUUCUGUGGGACCUUGGCUUUUAUUUCUGCUUUCUCACUUUUAUGCUAAUUGCCUCAUUCUUCUCUCCCCUUCCUCUUUCUCUCUUCCUGCUCCCGCUACCCCUCCUGCCAACCCUCAGGGUCUUCGUUAAGGACUGGCUCUGCCCAGAGCUCUGCGUGCACGUUGAAGUCGUCCCUCUCCAUCCUCACACUUUUCUCGAGGUGACAUAAUUCCUGCCACUUUCGUCAUUGCCUACGUCUGGCAGAACAGCUGGAGCAGGGCUAAGUGGUAGGUGGGGACAUUCUGUUCGCAUGAGUGAUUUUGUUUUUAAGCCGUACACCCUACCCAAGAGUGUGCAUGUACAAUAAAACAUACCAGAUAAAUUACCGCAUCUGAAGCAUGUUAACAGGCAUGAAGAACACAGGUAUGGAGCAAAGCACCGUCCAGUGCAUUAAUUACACUGUCAAUUUCUUCUAUGGACUGAACUGUGUCUCCCCGAAUUCAUGUGAUGAAGCUCAGUUUCCCAGUGUGAUGGUAUGUGGGGGUGGGGCCCCUGGGAGAUAAUUAGGUUUAGGUAAGGUCUUGAGGCUGAGGCCCUCAUGAAGGGAUUAGUGCCCUUAUUAGAGAUACCAGAGAGACUCUUCUUCUGUGUGUGUGUGUUUCUCUCUCUCUCUUUUCUCUCUCUCUGUCACAUGAGGACAUAGAGAGAAGUUGGCAGUCUACAAGCUGGGAAGCGGGUGCUUGCCAGUUGGCUGGCAUCUUGAUCUGGGACUUUUCGUCUCCAGGACCGUGAGAAACUAAAGUUCCGUUGUGUAAGCCACCCAGUCUAUGGCAUUUUGUUACGGCAGCUCGAGCUGACUAAAACAAAUUCCCAAGCUAAGUAUUUGCUAUCUACCAUAACAUUUGUUUUCCAGAUGUGCCAUUUGCACUCAAAUCUGCAUGCAAAUUGAAUUAGCUAAUUAAUACAGGUAUAUACUACCUCAGGAUAGGAGUCUCUAGUGACUCCCUUCCCCAUUAAUCCCCGUAUAUUUAUAUAUCUUCACUUGGAACUCCUGGAUUAAACUCAGUUAAGCUUAAACUCCCUUGUCUCUUCAUUUAACUGUAAAGCACUCAGACAAUUUUGUCCGAAUGUUCCUCUGUCCACAUUUGCCUUGAUAUCCUCUUUACUGAAACAUCAUACUUAUCCUUCCCAAAAUUAGGCUCAUGGGCGGGGGACCCAAACAAUGAUCCCAUUUUGUAGCAAAGCCCAUGCUUGGACCUCAUGUCUAUACCCUGUUCUUUCCACGAUCAUGUUAAGAAUUUAGAAGGCGAAAUGCAGGUAUCUGGUUUCCUUUUCCGGAGCAGAGACGAUUAAAAUGUCCAGCCUGUCGAUGAUGCCCAACACUUAUGAGUUCUGUCUCCUUUACGCGCCUAUCUCAUUUAGCCCUCACAACAGACUCUGUGGAGUAGUGAGGAUCCCCUCCCCGGAGGGACGAGGGCAGUGAGACAAAGAAAGAUUAACUGGCAAAGAUGACAGCCAGCGAAGGAUGUCAGGGUUUCCCCGCAGGCAGUCUGAAUCCAGAGGUUACCUUCCUGACUACUAAGAAACCAGAUGUAUUCGUUGGGCGUCCCACCAAAAAGGAGCAAGGGGUCAAAGUGGAGAGCCCUAAGAGGGAGUAUUUGGCAGCCUCAAUUUUAUCUUGCUGCGGCUUUCUUCUCACGGGGGCUCACGUGUUGGCUCUUUCUUUUGUGCGAAAGGAUUACUAAAUAUCAUAGUUGCCAUUUAGCUUUCUGUUGCCAGGUUGGGACGGCUCCUGGUUUACUGCUUCUGAGCGACCCAAACUGAAUACUACCCUGGAUACCUUCCCUCGAAGAAGAAAAGUUUUGAGCAAGGAAUUUGGACUGGAAACUUAGACUUUACAAUUUAGUACGUGUGUGUUCGGACCUGACAUUAGGUCCUAUUACUGAUCGGGUUUUUUCGCACAGCAUCCCGAUUUGUCAGUUCUGGGACUAGGAGGUGUUUGGCCCACGUGUAGGAGUAAAGGCCAUCCUGACAUCAGCACCAUUUUAUUGGGGGGGGGGAGGGUCAUAUCUUGGGUAUUGAGAACAGAAGAUCCUCAAACAAUUCUUAGCCGCCAGCAGGGUGGUACCAAUAGCUGCCGUGAGAUUAUUAAACAGUACGAAGAUUUCCUACAGACAGACUCAAGAACUGGUAGCAUUUGCCUUCAGUCGUGGGAGACCAUAACAAAAACACGCUCUCAUGUGUUUAUUUUGGCAGCAUCCUGUGGUAGCACAGAGUAGCCAUGCAAUCAACACGCAUGGGAUUAAAUGCACAUCUGUGGGAACCAGGGCAAAGAGUGCCAAGGGGUCCCCUGUCCCCUGUCUAAAUUUAGUCUCCCCUUUUUAGAGCAAACCGGAUCCUAACAUGUGACAAAGCAAACAUCUGGCAUUAGUUUUUCUGUCCCAGUGGUGCUCCUGUUCUACCUUGUGUGUGCAGCUCUUUGCUCAGAAUGAGAUGGUGGCAUCUUUAUAAGUAGAGGAAGCACAGUGUGAUAGAAAGGGUGUUGCUUUUGGAGUUCAUGCAUCUGGGCUCAAGGGCCAGCUCUUUUUGAUACUUAAAGCAUGAUACUUAACUGCUUUCUCCUGGUUUAUGGUUAGAUCUCAGCUUCACAAGUUUGUUGUAAAGCUCUGCUGCUCCUAACCCAUGAUGACGGCUCAACAUAGUGAACAUCAGCUCCCUUCUCCUUCCCUCCUAGAGGGAAUGGAUGAUAUCACUUAUUUCUGCAUUCCUAACUCCCAGCAUAUGUCUUGGCACACACGGAAUAUCUGGAAAUGUUUGUGGAACAAAUAAAAUCUUAUUUCCCAGUGUAUUAAAAUCCCUCCCUCUGUGUUGGUCAUCUAGUUGGUUCUCAAACACUUAAAAAAAUUUUUUUGUGGGGCGCCUGGGUGGCUCAGUCAGUUAAGCUUCUGACUCUGGCCCAGGUCAUGAUCUCGUGGUUCAUGAGUUCGAGCCCUGUGUUGGGCUCUGUGCUGACAGCUCGGAGCCUGGAGCCUGCUUCAGAUUCUAUGUCUCAUUCUCUCUCUGCCCUCCCUGCCCCACCCCCCCCCCCCCCCCCAGCCAACUUGUGCUGUCUCUCUCUGUCUCUCGAAAAUGAAUAAAGGUUAAAAAAAAAUUUAACUUAGGUGCAAGUUAUUUACAUACAAUUAUUUCAGUUGUAUACUACUAUAUUUAUAUAUUUAUUAAGUUAUAUAUUAGAUUAUUUACAUAAAUUGCUAGAUCUUAAGAAAGCUUAGUAAAUUUUUACGUAGGUAUACAUACACCCAUGAAACCAUCACCUAGAUAAAGAUAAAAAACAUUUCAGUUGCCCCAGAAGGUUCUUCCUGCUACUUCCCAGUCAAUACUCCCCCUGCCAGAGGAAAUGAUUGUGGUGACUUCUGUCCUCAUAGAUUCGUUUUGCCGGUUCUUGGAUUUCAAAUAAGUGGAUCUUAUAGUGCAUACCCUUUUGUGCCUGGCUUAUUUCACCCAAAAAAUGCUGUGAUAUUCAUCCAUGCCGUCACGUAUGCAGCAGUUUGUUCAUUUUUAUUAUGUGUAGUAUUCCACAAUAUAUAUAAACUAUGCGUCCGUUCACCUACUGAUGGACAGUGGGGUUGUUCCUAGUUUUUAGCAAUGAUGGAUAAAGCUGUAUUUUCGUUUAUGUCUUUUGGUGGAUAGAGCUAUUCCUUUCUCUCGGGUAAACGCAAGGAGUGGAGUUGCUUAUCAAAAACUACCAAACUAUUUUACAAAAUAAUUGAACACACUUACACUGCCACCAGCACCGUAUUAAGUUCUGGUAACUUUAAAUUCUUACCUGCGUUUGAUAUUUGGUAUUGUCUUUAACAUUUUAAUCAUCCAGGUUUCUCAUGGUUGUUUUAAUUUGUAGAUUUCUGAUGAGUGAUGAUGUUGAGCAUCUUUUCAGGUGCUGUGGCCACGGGGCUGCACUAUUCAGAUCUCACUUCAAGGGAACCUUCUGCAGGGAACAUAGCUGACUGACAGCUUCCAGCAGCUAGAUCAUCAUAUCUGUCACGAUGCUCGCACUGAGGCCACAUUUUCCCAGGAAAUUUGCUGCUUCCAGUCAAAGACUAAGCAGGGCAGAGAUACUAGACUUAGACCAUUUCUGCCCAGUGGAGCCCUUCUCCAAUAGCCAAUCUUUGUUUAAGAGACUCCCAUCAGCUUGGCCCAGAUUACCUCAAAACUGCAGUGUCUAAAGUUCUUCCUAAAUCAUCCGCCUUCCUUCCCUGAUCCUUUUAUAGAUGUCAAACCUGCACCACAGUCCAGGGCUCUCCCCACUUUCUCCUGCCCCACCCCCCUUUUCCUUCAUAGGCAUUUCCCUCAGUAGACCCCUUGCAUGUCUAAUCCCAUCUUGGCAUAUGCUUCAUGAAGCCUGAACUGACCUACUUGAUUAUUGACUGUUGAUAAUUCUCUUUUGUAAAACCCCUGUACAAGUCUUUUGUCUAUUUUUAAGAUGAGCUUCAUGCUCCUCCUUUUUUAAAAAAAUUUAUUUAUAGGAGCGCCUGGGUGGCUCAGUCGGUUAAGCAUCUGACUUCGGCUCAGGUCAUUAUCUUGUGGCUUGUGGGUUGGAGCCUUGCGUCAGGCUCUGUGCUGACAGCUCAGAGCCUGGAGCCUGCUUCGGAUUCUGUGUCUCCCUCUCUCUCUGCACCUCUCUGCUAAUGUUCUGUCUCUCUGUCUCUCUCUCAAAAAUAAACAUUUAAACAUUUUUUAAAAAUUUAUUUAUAGGAGUUCUGUAUAUAUUCUGGAUAUAAAUUCUUUGUUAGAUAUGAUUUGUGAAUAUUUUCCCUCCAUCCAUGGCUUGUGUAUAAUCACUUUAUUAAUGAUAUCUUUGAUAAAUAGUUUAUUUUAGUGGUGCCCAGUUUAUUUUUUUCCUUUGUAGUAUAAAAUGUGAGGUAGGUAUCAAGGUUCUUUUUUUUUUUUUUUCAUAUGAAUAUCCAAUGGUGUCAGCAACUAGAAGAAACAUGAUUUCCCCACUGCAGUAGCACCUAUAAUGGAAAUUAGGUAAAUCUACAUAUGUAUGUAUAUUUCUGGACUCUAUUCUGUUCCAUUGAUUUCCUUGUUUAUACUUGCACCUAUAAUACACAGUUUUUAAAUAUAUAUACCAUCACACUUUAUUUUUAAAGUAAUCUCCAUGCCCAACAUGGGGCUCAAACUCCUGGCCUUGAGAUCAAGAGUCACAUGCUCCAUGGACUGAGCCAGCCAGAUGCUCCUACAACAUACUGUUGUAAUUAUUAUAGUUUUAUAGAAUGUCCUGGAACUUGAGCUCAUAAUUCCUCCAACUUUUUCUUCUUAAAUAUUGUCUAGAUUAUUUAUAUUUUCAUUUAUUAGAAUGAGCCCAUCGAUUUCUAAAAUUGCCUGGGAUUGGGAUUAGGAUUCCAUUAAACCAGGGUUUCUUAUCCUCAAUGCUAUUGAAAUUUUGGGCUUUGCUGUGGGGAAAGGAGUCUGUCCUGUGCAUUGCAGGAGAUUUAGCAGCAACCCUGGUCUCUGCCCACUAAGUGCCGGUAGUAACCCCUCCCCCCACCCCAGGUGGUGCCACACAGGUCAAGGGGCGCCUGGGUGGCUCAGUCGGUUAAGCAUCUGACUUAGGCUGAGACCAUGAUCUCAUGGUUUGUGAGUUGGAGCUCCACGUUGGGCUCUGUGCUGAUAGCUCUGAGCCUGGAACUGCUUCACAUUCUAGGUCUCUUGCUCUCUCUGCCUGCCCCCCACCCCUGCUCACGCACUGCCUCUCUCUGUCUCUCUCAAAAGUAAAUAACGUUAAAAAAAAUUAUUUAAAAAAAUGUGUCUGUAAAUUGCCAAAUGUCCUUUGGCAAGCACAACUGCCCUGCCCUCUCUCCCCGAUUGAUAACCACUGCAUCAAAUCUAUGGAGCAAUCUGGAGAAAAUUGGCAUCUUAACAGUAUUGGGACUCUCCAUCCACAAAAAUGGAUUAUCUCUCCAUUUAAAACUGAAGCACACACUUUCAACACCCUGUACCAUUGUGACCUUAAAGGCAUAACGAAUUCAGGUUUUCAUUUACUGGUUAUUUAUGACAUAUGAACUUAUACCUCCUCGCCAAAACCAUCUCAGCAAAUGGUUUAAUGUGAUAAUUAUUCUUCUAGUCAAAAUAUCUCUAUUGGAAGUCAGAGCUGAUCCAAAAGGAGCCUUGGAUUUAAAUAUGACAUAGUAGAAACUCUAAAUGUCUAACAAGUAAAUUAAACAAAAAAGCAAGCAUCAAAAAGAUAAGGUAAGGGUGUAGGUUCAAGCCCCACAUUGGUUGUACAGAUUACUUAAAAAUAAAGUCUUUAGGGGUGCCUGGGUGGCUCAGUCGGUUAAGCGUCAGACUUCAGCUCAGGUCAUGAUCUCACAGUUUGUGGGUUCGAGCCCCACAUCAGGCUCUGUGCUGACAGCUAGAGCCUGGAGCCUGCUUUGGGUUCUGUGUCCUCCUCUGUCUCUCUGCCCCUCCCCCACGAUGCUUGCUCUCUCUCUCUCUCUCUCUCUCUCUGUCUAAAAUAAACAUACAUACAUACAUACAUACAUACAUAAAAUCUUUAAAAACACAAAAGAUAAGGUAAAUGGAAAGCCAAUUAAGUGAAAAGAUACUACUCUGUCAUCUCUACACUUAUCAAUAGAAAAUUAAUAUUUAUUAACCAGAAGAAGAAUCUCAUAACAUGUCAUUGUCUUUAACAAAUAUACAUUAGCUACCUCUUUGAGCUUGCUGUAAGACUUGAAACUUUCUGACAGUUUGGUUCAGUCCGCAAACCUCAUAAAGUUGUUUUUAUCCCUGUUACACAAAUUAGAGGACAGUGGAGGUGGUGUCCUGAGGCUAGCAGUCUCAUUUUGUCCUGGUACUGCCCCAGUCCUCACCCAACUCCUACCCAUCAUCUAUGCUGCUCCUUUUUCAAUUCUCCUGAAGGGAGCUGCCCCUUCCCUGCUAAAUAACAUUCAAUGGCUCACCACUGUCCACCAAAUAAAGGCCAAGUUCUUGUGCACGUUCAAGAUCUUGUUUCCUAUACAUCUCAAUAGACUAUAAAGAACAAAAACAGCCUAUUCAUGCCUUUGUCACCUCCUUGUCGUCUCACCCCACACAGAGUAGGAAUACCUCCAGAGUGAUGCAUUUUCCAUCUCCAGUAGGAGUAUGGCAGAGGAUUCGAACUUCACAACUGUUUGGACUGGACACUGAUCCAGAGGGCUUAGGAUUAUUCUUCAGUUAAUCAGGUAUAUUACAGAUACAGAUACAACAGGUCAAAUAAAAUUUCCCAGGAGCACAGGGCAUGGCGGAGACAGAACACUAGCCACUAAAAUAGAGCAGGGUUGGAAAACUUUUCUUGUAAAGCGUCAGAUAGUAAACAUUCUAGGCGUUGCGGGUCAUAUAGCCCCCCUGGCAGUGACUCACCACUGCCGUUUUAUUGUGACAGCGGCCGGAGGUAAUAUCUAGGCAAACGGGAGUGGCUGUAUUCGCACAAAUCGUAUUUUAAAAAACAGGUGGUGGGCAGCAUUCGGCCUGUGGGCCAUAGGUGGCCAACUCCUGAGACAGAGGGUUGUUCUGUUACCAAAGAGGGUUUGAAACACAAGAUGCUGACGGGAAAGCCAGGUGCUGACAUAGAACGGAAAAGUUGAAAUCAAUGAACAAAAGUACAAUUCUGUACUAAGUUUUAGACAGGAAAAUGGAACAAGUACCUAACUGGAAAAAGAAGAGGUUUCAUGUAAAAUGUCUCCUGAGUUAGGUGAAAAAUUUUAUUCAGUUCAAGAAAAGAGAAAAGAUGACUUUGGGGCUUGGUUGCCUGAAAAUUCCCCAUGGGCCAAAUGGAGCCGUGUGGCUUCUCUGAACAUCUAACGUGCUGUAUGAAAGCAGAGCAUCCAGAAGAUGCAGGGUGACGACCCCAGGGGAUGGGGCACCAUGUUGGUCGGGUCACCACUAGAUCCCUCACCCCCAUCUCUGCCAGACACUAGGAGGUGCUCACUGGGAAAUAAUCGUUCCCGUGCUCUGCGCUGGGUGGUGCGGUUGGACAUUUGAGUGUCUGCUCUGUGCAAUGUCUGAGCCGGAUUCAAGCGUGAAAAAGUGCUGUUUGAGCUCCGAGCUUCUGAAAGGCGGGGCCCAGCUGAGGACAGAGGAAGAGAGACAAGGGGAAAGAGUAGCCCAGGCAGGGGACAGUACUAGAGUCUGCUGGGAUUAUCUGACGGGGCUCAAUUCUGUUCUUUCUCUUCAAAAUACCAGUUAGAAUCCAGGUUUCUGCCGGGGGCGGGGGGUGGGCAGGGGGCAUCAUACUUUCUAAGGAGUCAUAACUUUAGCUUUGUUUUCUGAAAAAUAUGCCACCCUACCUGAGAGACAAGAGACAAAUGUGUUGACACAUUUAAGGAAACACUUGUAGUAUUUCAAAUGAGCCGAUAAAGGGAGAGAAACGUAAGGAACCCAUAGGCUACAGUGGGAGUUCUCAGAGCCCCGGUAAUCCCCUGGCAAGGGAACUAAUUAUGUUUGCAGAAGACGUGUGUGCUUGAUAAAAUAAUUAAAAAUAAAUUGCUCUCCUUGGACAUGCAAAUCGCCAAGUGUUAAAGCAACCCCAUUGGUCACAUAGAUAAUAAAUAGAUGCGUUUUCUCUAGUCUGUUAGGUGGCACUGAUUGAUUUCCAGUUCUGGCUACGAUAGGGCCUGAGCAGCUUUUGAAACAAAGAUGAGGAGACCUCAGACCCAGUGGGAACAGUUGUCAUAUCCUGGGGGCCAGUUGUUAAAAGCUGUAAGCCAUGACACUCCCCAACCCCAGCCCUCCUGACCUUUCCUGGCUGAGAACUGGGGACUCUGAGGAACCAGACUUGACCCAGUGAUCCCCCUGGGCUCCCAGCCCCUGCUGGAGAAAGAGGGGACAGGGGCCCUGUUACUCCUCCUCCCCCAAAGAACUACCACGACACUCUGUGCUACUACCCAGUGCUGUCAGGUCAAAGAAAAUAAGGCAUUGGCUAAAAGCCAGGACCCAGAUGGAUCUUUUGGUGUGGGGAGGAAGGGGAGAUAUGAGGCCUUGGGGUUGACUGUCGUUAAAAAAAAAAAAAAAAAAAGUUUUUCCUAAUGACCUAAUAGUCUUAUAGAGCAAAGAAGAAAAGGAGAUGAGAGGUGAGGUGAGGAGAAAGAAAGAAAGAAAGAAAGAAGAAAGAAAGAAAGAAAGAAAGGCAGAAAGAAAGAAAGAAAACAGAGAAAGCGAGGAAGGGAAGGAGGGAGGAAGAAAGAGGAAGCAGAAACUCAGACUACAAAAUGCUUUAUAAUUUCUUCAAAGAACCCAUCAAUAUUAAUUAGGUACCGUCUAUGCAGAGAUUGUCCUUGAGUAGCAUUUAUAGAUGGGAUGGGGGCAAGACAGGAUUUCUGCAUUGAAGGAAGUCACAUCCACAUUGGGAAGUAGAUCUGAUGUGAAUGAAGGGCAUAUUCCCAAUUCCUUUUUGCCUUGCUGACAUCAGGCCCCUUCCCACACCUCUUAUUUGGGGGCAAGAGAUUACCUAGAGCCAGUGUGACUGGACCACUCGGAAUGCUUUCCUGGGAAUCAGUGACAUAAGGGAGGAGAAAGCAGAGGGCAGCCUCACCCUGGGCUUCGCCAUAGGAUCGCAACUAAUACCCAAGAGGCUGUGUGAGGGAGGUUCUCUCCUUACAGAAGGGGACCCUGAACCUCUGUGAGGUGCGGCAAAUGAAACACAGGGUAAAUUAUCUAGUUCCUGGGAGAAGGCAAGGGGUAGAUGACUUAACACACAAAGAAACCACAUACACAUUCCCUCUGAUUCCUAGGUAACUUGCCCAAGGCCACACACACCAAGAAGGACACAAUCAGGAUUCAUUCACAACAAUGCUCAGUCCAAUUCCAGAGCCCACACUUUCCAUAGGGCUGCAGACAGCUCUCGGGAUUCAAUGGUCUUCCUCUUCCCUCCAGGUGGUUACCCAGUCUCCAGCCCGUUUCAAAUCCACCCAGAGAGUCUUUUCUUUCAGUGCGUUUAGCUUCAGUGCCGACAACCUCCUGGCUUUGUGGUACAAGCAGACGAGGGAAAUGAGCAGAAGGAUAAACAGAAUGCAGGGGCAGGUGAAUAGGAAAUAGAGUAAAGGUGUUGAUGAGCAGAUCCUGGAGGGAAAUGUGGGCUCUGCAAUGAAAAGAACAAUAAAGAAGAUAAUUAGUCUCCAGCUUACCUGCACUAAUCAAUGAUAAACACUUGGGGGAUUUAUUGUUACAGGGAAAUAUAUGUAAAAAUAGUGGGGCCAAGUAGCGGUGGGCCCUUUAAAUCGUAUGUGGGCAGAGGAGUCCAGAAUAGGGCUCUUCCAGCCUAGCUGCCCUCACCCAGCAUGUCCCAACCACUGGGUGGGGGGUUCCAAUGACCUACUUAAAACCAACAGCCGCGAAGAAAAAUAAAACAAAAAAAGAAAACCUCUCCUUUAAUCUUCUAUCCUCAGAAAAGAUAUCUAUAAUUCAACCCUCGUUCUCAGCUCUGUUGCUGGUCCUGAAUUUUUAACUGAGUUAUUCCCACUGCUGCUGCUUAAGUGUGCGUACUCAUAUGGACACGCACGCGGCACACACACAUGCACGUGUGCACACUCACACAGUGCGCUGUUUUUACACAACUACAGUGAGAAGCUUGGUCCGGACUCUCCUGUUGGGAUCCCCCCACCCAGGCACCCUCCGUUUGGCUCCCCUCCUGUGUUGCCCUUACUCUUGCCCCCAUCACGCACGCUCUCUGCACUCUCUGCAUCCUAAUCCUCUGGGUCCUCCUGACCCAGCUCAGACAACACUUCCUCUCCUGGGUCCUCUACCUGCCUCAGGCACAGUCCUUUCCAAUGCUCCUCUCACAUACCCCCUGGUGUAGACCACUUUUGUUCCUCCUUAUCCAUCUCCUUCAUUCCACCACAGUUGAGUACGACUGGUAGCGACUGAUAGCGUCAUUGGUUUCUGUGUCCCCUGCUAUGCCCGGCACUUGCCUGACAACGUUGGCUGAUCUGAAUCGAACCGGACUGACUGCAACCACCUGGGCAAAGGCUACUAUAUAAAGGCAAACUAAAGCACACGAUCUUCCAGCAACUGCAGUCCGUGGCGGGGGCAGGAGGGGGGCACUGUCAGCGCACAGACACGCCAGGCAUGCACAAGCAGUCCCAAAGUGGCUCCUGGCCACACGGCCAGAGAGGCAAGGGGACAGGGCUGCAAACACCACAGGUUCCAGGAAGCAGUGCCUAACAGCCUCCAUGCACAAAGGCACAUGCUUAGAGAGACACCAACCACUAAAUGUAGUCUUCUGACGACAUUUGUUUAUGACAGGAUAUUUGAACUUGGGGCUUUUUGGAAAACUCUGAUGCUAAUAGUAGCUGUGCUUUUAUUGGAAAAUUGUAAUGACAUAAGCAAGUUCUUCUUCAGAGGUUAAGUUAUAGGAUUCACGGGAUUAUAGACUCUUAGAGAUGUAAACAGCUUUGGAGGUCAUUUCCACCAACCUCUACCGCAAGAAUUCCAUUUUUGGCAUUGUUGAUGCAUUUGCACCUUGAAGAACGUCUCUUUGUUGGAAGUCAAGAAAGAGCCUCAAACAUUUGUCCGGCUCCUGCCUUGUGAACUCCUGAAGGACAGGGCCCAUGUCUUACGCGUCUUUUUAUCUUGUACAGCACUUUGUCCAUAGGUCAUCAAUGGAAACCGAUGGAUGAAUCAAUUGCGUGAGUGCAUUGCACACACAGGAACCCAGGGGUGGCUGUCGUCCUGUUACACAGAGUAAAGACCAUCACUGAACAGGAAGCUAGCUCUGAACAGGACUUGACGAGCUGAAGGAGUUUGCAGCUGGAUUUUCUCUGGUCUCAUGUAUAUUCUUCGCCCUCAAGUUGGUUUUGGUUUUUGAAAGGGUGGGCAAUGAUAAAGCUAGACUUUUAAUUCAUUAUCACCCUCUCUCUCUCUAUCCUACCUGACCCCUCUCUCCAAGGCCCUGCUUGACUACAAUAAAUCUCCCCAGGUCUUAUCUUAAUAUAUCUGAAGGCAUGUGGGUAGGAAGGAGGUAGAAAUGGCAGUGCUGAAAGAGACCGGAGCUGUAGAAAACAGCGGAGAAGAGCACUGGCCUUGACACUUCACGCUACUCGUACGCACAGUAGCGACUGAGUACCUCUUCCAUCUCGAAGGAAGCCGGGUUCACAUUCUGGCUCUUCCACAUACUGUUAUUGACGUUGGACCAGUUACUUGCCCUCAAUAACGCUUAGUUUCCUCAUCGAUCAAAUGGGGAUAAUAAUUUCUAGAGUCGUGAUAAGAUAAUGAAGUAUUUAACAGAGCGCUCAGCACAUCUGUUGAGUCAGCAAGGAAUAACUAUCAGUACACUGGUAGGAAAGUCACAGGCAAUGCUCUCCCAAGAGACCGGGUAGAAAACGGGGCUUGACCAGCUGGUUCCCCACACAGGCACCACAAGCUUGGCCACGUUCUUCCGCAGGCCCAGUCUCUCCCUCAAGUCUCUGGUCCCUCCGUCUCCAUGGCUGGGUGACGUUCCACUGAGAGUCAAAUGAUUACAUAGGAGACUCUGACUUCCCUUCCCUAUCAUGGGAGGCAGAGAAUUGGGAAGUGAGAGUCCACCUCUGUGUCACCGUUGCUAGGACGGUGGUGCGAUACUGAAGAGAUUUGCACCAGCACGCAGAAGGUGAGAAGAAAUCCGGUACUUGGCUUUUUUUCUUUUUCCCCUGAGACUCUAACCUUCAGUGUGAAGGGACUGCCAGAGGGCUUGGGUAUCUUAAUGGGGAGGAGACUGCUCUGUGUGGAGCAAUCUGCCAUCAAAGGAUAGCACAGGCGCUCGUCACAGUGCCGAGUUGGCCAACAGCUAGCAACUGUCAGCUCCAGUGCUUCUAAAUUACCUCUCCUGGGAGGGCAGGGUUUGCUCUAGAUCCCACAAUCACCAGUCCCCACCAUCUGCCUCUCACCCAUAUCUGGAUUAGAAUUAGCGACAUCCCAAACCAUUAAGGUUUGGCAUUUUGAAUCAAUCCGAGUAAGUGCCCGAUGCUCGAAGUACAAGGUCUGCAAGACAGAGCCAAAAGUGUAAUGAGAACACUUCAUCACGAGGCUUGGUUGAUAACUUGCUCCCACCCACAGCCAAAUACACCACGAGGAGCAUUCCUUUUCCAUAUUACCUCAGAAGUACUGACUUCAGCAGAGGACAGAUACCGGAGAGCGAGGGGGCUACCAAUUCUGCCCCCACCCCAACCCAAAUUCAGCAAUGGACCAUGCCAAGUGUGGCCACGGGAGAGAGUUGGCUCCCGCCAAGAAAUGAAAGUAGGGUUAGGGAACCCAAUACAAGCGCAUCCCAGAAUGAAUGGUGCCUGACAGUAUCCUGUUUCAUCCCAACUGAAGACUCGCUUGCUCAUUCUUUCAUGAAGCAUUUAUUGAGUACUACGUGCCAGACUUUGUGGGAGGCACCGGGGUAGCAUAGAAAAAUGUUAUGUUCUCUCCAGAAACUUCAGUGUGGUAGGGGCACAUAUCUCCUUUGAAGGGUCACUUUCUAAGUAUAUCCUUACCCACCUAGAAGCUGGGGAAGAGUAACAAAUACAUAUGAUGACAAGUAAUCCAGUCCCCAGAAAGCCUUAUAAUCUUGCCUAUUAAUUAAUUACAGAGAAUUCUCUAGAAUAAGACAUUUAUGUCUGGGGUCUGAGGGUGAGGUAGGAAGACUAAGGUAUCUCUAGCCCCUGCCUUGGCUUAGUCAUAGGUAAGGAAGUCAGAUGGAGAAGCAAAUGCCAGGUCCAUUCCAUUCCCCCAGGGAGAUGCGUCUUAACUUUUCUGUCUCCACUUGAGCCACAGCACUCCACAGACUUAUUAGGUAGUCCUAAACUAACCCACCCUGAAAUUGCCACAGGGAGGUGGCAGAAAACCAUCUGAGAAGUGGAGAGUUGAUAGCAUGUUAGUCCCUGAGAAGGUAGCAGAUAAGUUGGGAGGUGAAGGAUUAGUAGGUGUUGACCAAAGGUGGCAUGGAGGGGCACUGCAGUCAGCAGGUGGUAUAGCUUCAUCAUCUUCCUCUCUGCGGCCUCUUUCCCCUCUAGAAUUUUUUAAAGUGCUCAAGUCCCUACCAGCUCCAAACCAAAACAGAACAAAGUAAAACUUCACUGACACCUCUUGCCACUUAUCUUCUCUCUUACCUUUACAUCAAAGCUCUUGAAAGUGUAAUCUAUAUUUGAUGUGUCCACUCUUUCACUGUGGUCUGCCUUUUCUCAUUACUUCUCUGCAAUUGCCCUGCAGUGUGAAAUCCCAUGGACACUUGCCCGUUCUUAUCUUAAUUGACCUCUUUACAAUAGUUGAGUUUGUUGGCUUUCCCUUCCCUUUUGCUGUGCUCUCUGCUUUUGGUUUCUAGGAUACCACCAAACCCUGGUUCUCCUCCUACCUCUUGGCUACUCCUUUCGUUCCCCUUCAGUCUCCUCUUCUGUACUUCCCUGAUCAAUAGUAUCUCAGGGAUGCGUCGUUGGACACCAUUAUUGGCUAUGAGUUGAUGCCUACUAAUCUACAGCUCUGGCAAAGAUCUCUCUUGGAAAUCCCCAUGUCUAUUGGGUAGAACUCUCUGGAUAACUCACACAUACUCCACACAUCAAUUCCAGCUCAACUUAUUCAAAAUUGAACUAAUUUCUCCAUCAGACCUUAUAUUACCUCAUUUAGUGAAUGUCCCCACUAACCACCCAUGCUAGAAACUUCUUAUUCAUCCUUGAUUCUCCCCUUCUGCCCAUUCACCCUCCACAUGCACCUAAUCAGUCUCUAAAUCCUGAAGAUGAUGCUGCCUAACACUGACUGCCUGCUUUUCUCUCAUCCCUCAUUAAAGCACUGCCUUAAUUUGGACCUUCAUCUUGUCUCACCUGGGUUCCUACUAUCAAUUUCAAAUAGUGCUCUCUGCUCUGUGUCUGCCUCCCUUCCCACUCAUCUUUAACAGGGCUCCCAGUGGGAGCUUCCUAAAAUGCAAAUCUCAUGAUGUCACUCCCCUGGUUGAACUUCGCUGACACUCCAUAAGGUUCAUGACUCAGUUCACCUUCCUUAGCUACAUACGUGGGAUGAGUUUGAGAUCCAUACCCUCCCAUCUCACUAGCUGCCUCUCUUACCCUUGCGCCACAGUUUAUUUUUUAAUAAUUUUUUAAUGUUUAUUUAUUUUUGAGAGAGAGAUGAGUGGAGAGAGAGUGUGUCAGAGCAUGAGUUGGGGAGGGGCAGAGAGAGAAGGAGACACAGCAUCUGAAACAGGCUCCAGGCUCUGAGCUGUCAGCAUAGAGCCUGAUGCAAGGCUCGAGCCCACGAACCAGGAGAUCACGACCUGAACCAAAGUCGGACACUUAAACUAACUGAGCCGCUCAGGUGCCCCUGCCCUUGCACCACAGUUUUUAUGAUCAUCUUGCCUAGCCUUUCCUUUCCCUAAAAUAUGUCCUCUUCCUUUUCAUAGGCCCCAUACUCUGGGGAGUUUCCCAGCUCUCCUCCCCACCCAGCCCUUCACCCCAGCCCUGCCUCUGCUCCUUGUGCAGCACCCUAAAACUAUUUCUUUGAUGACACCUACCACUUUGGACUUUACUUCCCCAACAGAAUCUGAGCUCUUUGGGGGAUGCCUGGGUGGCUCAGUUGGUUAAGCAUCCGACUCCUGGUUUCAGCUCAGGUCAUGAUCUCACGGUUCGGGAGUUUGAGCCCCACAUCAGGGUCUGUGCUGACAGCGCGGAGCCUGCUUGGGAUUCUCUGUCUCCUCCUUCUCUGCCUCCUUCCCCUCUCUCUCUCUCUCUCUCAAAAAAUAAACAUUAAAAAAAAAAGAAGGAAAAAGAAUCUGAGCUCUUUGGGAACAGACUCUGUAAUACAUGUUUUUGUGAUCUCAGAAGCUCACAUGGUUAUUUAUUGAACAACUUAAAAUAUUUUGUCAUGGGGCGCCUGGGUGGCUCAGUAGGUUAAGCAUCAGACUUCAGCUUUGGUCAUGAUCUCGCAGUUCGUGGGUUCAUGUCCCUUGUCGGNNNNNNNNNNNNNNNNNNNNNNNNNNNNNNNNNNNNNNNNNNNNNNNNNNNNNNNNNNNNNNNNNNNNNNNNNNNNNNNNNNNNNNNNNNNNNNNNNNNNNNNNNNNNNNNNNNNNNNNNNNNNNNNNNNNNNNNNNNNNNNNNNNNNNNNNNNNNNNNNNNNNNNNNNNNNNNNNNNNNNNNNNNNNNNNNNNNNNNNNNNNNNNNNNNNNNNNNNNNNNNNNNNNNNNNNNNNNNNNNNNNNNNNNNNNNNNNNNNNNNNNNNNNNNNNNNNNNNNNNNNNNNNNNNNNNNNNNNNNNNNNNNNNNNNNNNNNNNNNNNNNNNNNNNNNNNNNNNNNNNNNNNNNNNNNNNNNNNNNNNNNNNNNNNNNNNNNNNNNNNNNNNNNNNNNNNNNNNNNNNNNNNNNNNNNNNNNNNNNNNNNNNNNNNNNNNNNNNNNNNNNNNNNNNNNNNNNNNNNNNNNNNNNNNNNNNNNNNNNNNNNNNNNNNNNNNNNNNNNNNNNNNNNNNNNNNAAACUACCGGGAAAGAACAGCCAGGUAGAGGAAGCAAAAUGCUGUAAGCAAGGAUUUACUUGGGAACCCCCACUGUGUCUAUAACAAAAACCCUCAGCUUAUCAUGGCACAGGUUUUCAAGCUUCUUCAACUGUAAAGAAUACAAAGACCUCCCAACUUUUAAUGUUUUCUUUCCAGAGUUUAUCUUCUAAAAACCUUACACCUGACUUGUAAGGAUUCUACAAAGAUUAACUAUAUAUAUAUAUAUAUAUAUAUAUAUAUAUAUAUAUUGCUGUGUAGGAUCCCAUGUCUCUCAGAGGAGAUGUGCUUUUUCAUCACAGAUUAUAUAUUUAUUACAGUUAUUAUCUAUUUAUUCUGCUACAAAAAGUGCUGAUUCUACAGAGCCUAGGGAUUCCAGGGAGAAAACAUGUAUGGAAUGUGCUCAGGUUGUGGGACUUCCCGUAAUUGUUGGAAUAGAAGAAAAAUAUCUUCUGGACACUGGGGAGAAAACUUCUGUUGAAGAACACUUGGGGGAGGAGGAUGCUGGAGCCCUAGGGAGCAAGUCAGAGAACUCUGACUUCUGCUCUAGAAGCCUGGCUGGGACAGGGACACAACUGUCCCUAUUUUGGAGAAGUUGCCACCUAUUCCCAGCACCACUUUUUCCCCCCAGAGAGUGUCACCAAAGCUAGCUGGUGUUUCAGGAAUGUUACCUAGAAUUGAUCCUUUUUACUCUUGCUGGUGUGGGGCACCAAGGUCACAGCUAUGCAUCUCCGGUGUCCCCUUCCCACUAUUAAGUUCAGCGCACCUCUCGCCUUUUCCCUAAACCCCACCAGGAAGGAGCCGCUCAGGGGCAUCUGGGUGGCUCAGUCGGUUAAGCAUCCAACUUUGGCUCAGGUCAUGAUCACGUGGGUUUGUGAGUUCAAGCCUCUCAUCCAGCUCUGUGCUGACAGCUCAGAGCCUGGAGCCUGUGUCAGAUUCUGUGUCUCCCUCUCUCUCUGCCCCUCUUCCACUCUCUCCCUGUCCCUCCCUCUCUCUCUCUCUCAAAAAUAAAUAAACAUUAAAACAAUUUACAUAAAAAAGGAAAGAAGAAAGAAAGAAAGAAAGAAAGAAAGAAAGAAAGAAAGAAAGAAAGAAAGAAGCAGCUCAGAGAUGAGCUGGCCAUAUUAGCCAGCACACUGGUCACCAGGGAAGAUUUACUGGUCUGGCUGGAGAAAUUUUUGCUUUCAUUAACAAAUGCUUAAUGAAUGCCUACUACAUGCUUGGCACUGUACUGGCUGGAAGGUUGCCCUCUUCUCCUUCACAGCCUCUUGCUCCACACCCCUCCUCAAGCUGUGCACUAGCUGAGUAGGUUGGCCUUCCCACGUGGACAAUGGUCACUCUUGGGCCAAGGUCUUUAAGUAGCUGCCUUCCUCGCUGGACCCCAUAAGCAAGCUCCACAGGGCAUACUUCCUUCUCUGCUGCCUUUCAAGCUGCAGUCAGGUGAGGCCCACCCACCACAUGACUAUCGUUCUCAAAGCCCUGCUGAUUUGUUGACCUAUCGAGAGAGAAGAACAUGGCACUUACUCAUUAAGAAAAGUUUCGCUUUGGUUUGGAGGUGGGGAGCAUGUAGAGGCAGUUGACUGCAGUGAGACCAAAUGAAACAUCCCGUCACCAGGCCCCUAUCCCUCAUUCCAACUCCCUCUGCAGAUCCGAGCAUUCUGAGACUGGAGAACCAGCCAAGGGGUAAAGAUGUCUGCUUCGAACGUAAUUUUGUUAUUGAAAGGGAUACGAUGUGGAUGGCUUUUUUGGUUCGGGAGGAGAAGGGGCGGGGGAAGCAGGUCAGACGCCCCUGACAUUUCCGUGUCUGUGCCCAAAACCUUGCGUAGACCUCAUCUGUCCAAAUGAGAACUAGCAAUCACUAUUGACAGAAACUGCAAAGUCACUUUCUUUAGGGAAUCUGUAAACUGCUUUCAGCAAAACGUAACUGGGAGGGAAACACAAGACAGGGCGGGGGACAAAGAUUCUCCUGACCAGGGGCCGGGGCAGAUUAACCCCUAGUUACCUGAAGGCAGCACCGUGAGCACCACAUGCUGGGACUCAUCUGAUGCUCGGUUGACCCACGUGCCAGGGUUACCAUGCGGCUCCCACUCUGUCACCUUGCACCAGUACAAACCAGCAUCCUCCAUUCUGACCCGAUGAAGCUUCAGGACAAAGUCUGUAGGGGAUGAGCGGUAACAGUACAGAUGCCCCCCGAGCCCCUCGUCACCAUACUCCAGCAAGCCAUCAUGCCGAAGGUGUACCAGCAUUUUCCUUCCUGAAUGCUCCCCGUUGCGCAACCACAUCACAGAGUACAGAGAAGCCGAGCUGCCAGAACUCUCCAGGCUGCAGCGGAUGGCCACCUCCGUGUGCUCGGUAGCAUUUUCUGUCCAGUACACUUUGGACACACGUACCUUGCUUCCUAGGAAAUAAAAUGGCAAUAAGUUAG
rnacentral:lncRNA from 1 species